GUGCAGGUCCUGUGCAACAGGCGGCCGUGAACCAUGUCAGGCGGGGAACCGAGCAGCAUUAAGCGGUUUGCCCUGUGUGCCGCAGCCAAUCGGUACUUC
rnacentral:SRP_RNA from 1 species